UUUCAAACACAACCUUGGGCAUUUGGCAUUACGACUUACUACAAACAGCUGUAUUUCUCAGGAAAAAAAAAAAAAAACUAUGGAUGGAGAGAUCUUCUUCACUACUAACAUGAGCGCUGAAAGCAACUGGAACUUCCUUCACAAGCUGUAACUAUGCCAGUUUUCCACCGUUACAUCUUGAUGUUAACAUUAAUGAACCAGGA